CGUCUCCGUACCCACAACCUCAAAGUUCAUCCCCUGCGCCUGCGGGCUGCGGCUCUCUCCCCCUUCUCCCUCCAUCCGCGUCGCUCGUUCAAUGCGUCUGCAGACAACCCCUUGGCUGUCUGAGCUCGCAGAUCUCAUCCAUCCCCAUCGCUCGGCCGUUCUUCUCUUUUUGUUUGGUUUGGUUUGAUGCGCGUUCAUUACCAAUUCCUGAGGAUGAUUUGCGUAACUCACGGUAAUUAGUCUCGGACGCUACACACCAUUCUCUGAUGUGUGGUUAUAUCCUGAUUGGUGGCGUCCUCCGUGCCAGCUUAUCCUGGAAACGCCACAUAUAUUCACGUGCCGUCCUCUCUGUUUCCUUUUCUUUUCUUUGUGUUAUAGACUUGUAGUUUUUUCAUGUUUGAUAGGAAGAUCUGAUGGAUUGUAAAUCAUUUAUUUUUUCAGUUUUGCUAAAGCACAUCUAGAUGUGCCAUAAGUAUUGCACAUCUAAGUUCUAUGUCAUUGAUCUUACAUUGA